rnacentral:rRNA from 1 species
UUAUGGUCAAAGUCGGCCUCUCAUCGAAGCCGACGCAAGGGGAUGGGCCUGCGUCCUAUCAGCUUGUUGGUAGGGUAACGGCCUACCAAGGCUCCGACGGGUAGCUGGUCUGAGAGGAUGAUCAGCCACACUGGCACUGAAACACGGGCCAGACUCCUACGGGAGGCAGCAGUGAGGAAUUUUGCGCAAUGGCCGCAAGGCUGACGCAGCAACGCCGCGUGGGUGAAGAAGGCCUUCGGGUCGUAAAGCCCUGUCAGGUGGGAAGAAUGUCCCUGAGAUGAAUAAGCUUGGGGAGUGACGGUACCACCAGAGGAAGCACCGGCUAACUCCGUGCCAGCAGCCGCGGUAA